GACGAACGCUGGCGGCGUGCCUAAUACAUGCAAGUUGAGCGCUGAAGGUUGGUACUUGUACCAACUGGAUGAGCAGCGAACGGGUGAGUAACGCGUGGGGAAUCUGCCUUUGAGCGGGGGACAACAUUUGGAAACGAAUGCUAAUACCGCAUAAAAACUUUAAACACAAGUUUUAAGUUUGAAAGAUGCAAUUGCAUCACUCAAAGAUGAUCCCGCGUUGUAUUAGCUAGUUGGUGAGGUAAAGGCUCACCAAGGCGAUGAUGCAUAGCCGACCUGAGAGGGUGAUCGGCCACAUUGGGACUGAGACACGGCCCAAACUCCUACGGGAGGCAGCAGUAGGGAAUCUUCGGCAAUGGACGAAAGUCUGACCGAGCAACGCCGCGUGAGUGAAGAAGGUUUUCGGAUCGUAAAACUCUGUUGGUAGAGAAGAACGUUGGUGAGAGUGGAAAGCUCAUCAAGUGACGGUAACUACCCAGAAGGGGACGGCUAACUACGUG
rnacentral:rRNA from 1 species